rnacentral:sRNA from 1 species
AACUAGCCCCGAUGGGAGGGAAUAUUCUUUUGGGAACUUUGUCAAAGUUUAAAACUUUGACAAAGUUCCCAAAAGGAUUGGAAGGACAGCGGGAAUCCAU